GACGAACGCUGGCAGCGUGCUUAACACAUGCAAGUCGAACGGAAAGGCCCUGCUUUUGUGGGGUGCUCGAGUGGCGAACGGGUGAGUAACACGUGAGUAACCUGCCCUUGACUUUGGGAUAACUUCAGGAAACUGGGGCUAAUACCGGAUAGGAGCUCCUGCUGCAUGGUGGGGGUUGGAAAGUUUCGGCGGUUGGGGUUGGACUCGCGGCUUAUCAGCUUGUUGGUGGGGUAGUGGCUUACCAAGGCUUUGACGGGUAGCCGGCCUGAGAGGGUGACCGGCCACAUUGGGACUGAGAUACGGCCCAGACUCCUACGGGAGGCAGCAGUGGGGAAUAUUGCACAAUGGGCGGAAGCCUGAUGCAGCAACGCCGCGUGCGGGAUGACGGCCUUCGGGUUGUAAACCGCUUUCGCCUGUGACGAAGCGUGAGUGACGGUAAUGGGUAAAGAAGCACCGGCUAACUACGUG
rnacentral:rRNA from 1 species